rnacentral:lncRNA from 1 species
GGAGAGAGCGAGCGAGAGAAGGGAAAAAAAAAAGCUGUCUCACUCAAACUGGCCUUUCUCGGAAAAGGAUCCUUCCCUGAUGAUUGUCCGGAUAAGCGGAGCUAAAUCCAGCCACCACUCAACAACAAAACCACUCUCUUCCACGGUGCGUCUCUCUUGCUGCCUUGGAGCCGCAGAGCAGCCGGUGCCUGGGAGCAGAUGGGACUAUCCCUCUGCCAUAGCCCAAUGUAAGCAGGAUCAAGUCCAUGACUGGAGCUGCAACACGAGCAGGGCUGCAUCAGUUCAAGACUGAAGGGCAUCUCGGGCCAUUAUCACUGCCGUCUCACUGUCAGGGAGAUGUGUGAGACCUGAGACAUCGGGCAGCGGGGGCAAGCAGAGGACAUCUUCUCAGAUGAAGUGGGAGGAAGAGAGCUGCAAAAGAAAUUGGAGUCCUCAAAUUUCACCCGGAGCAAACACACAUGGAGACUCAGACCUGACUGCUUGGGCCAUGGGACUCCCCAGAAUAAAGGAGCUUGUUUAAGGCUCCUCUGCUUCUUG